rfam:Picea glauca, whole genome shotgun sequence.
ACAUGCUUACAACAUAGUGUUAAUGCACCAGAUCCUAUUAGAAAUCUGCAGUUAAGAAUGCUUGGGAUAGAUUAGUAUUAGGAUGGGUGAUCACCCCAGAAGUCCUAGUGUUUUACAUGCC